GACGAACGCUGGCGGCGUGCUUAACACAUGCAAGUCGAACGGAAAGGCUCCAGCUUGCUGGAGUACUCGAGUGGCGAACGGGUGAGUAACACGUGGGUAAUCUGCCCUGCACUCUGGGAUAAGCCUGGGAAACUGGGUCUAAUACUGGAUAUGACCUUUCUCCUUAUGGGGUUUGUUGGAAAGUUUUUCGGUGUAGGAUGAGCCCGCGGCCUAUCAGCUUGUUGGUGGGGUGAUGGCCUACCAAGGCGACGACGGGUAGCCGGCCUGAGAGGGUGAGCGGCCACAUUGGGACUGAGAUACGGCCCAGACUCCUACGGGAGGCAGCAGUGGGGAAUAUUGCACAAUGGGCGGAAGCCUGAUGCAGCGACGCCGCGUGAGGGAUGACGGCCUUCGGGUUGUAAACCGCUUUCAGCAGGGACGAAGCGUAAGUGACGGUACCUGCAGAAGAAGCACCGGCUAACUAGGUG
rnacentral:rRNA from 1 species